rnacentral:rRNA from 1 species
GAUAACCUCGGGAAACUGGGUAUAAUACCCGAUAGGUCUCGAUUGCUGGAAUGCAUCGAGAUUUAAAGCUCCGGCGCCUAAGGAUGGGUCUGCGGCCUAUCAGGUAGUAGUGGGUGUAGCGUACCUACUAGCCUACGACGGGUACGGGUUGUGAGAGCAAGAGCCCGGAGAUGGAUUCUGAGACACGAAUCCAGGCCCUACGGGGUGCAGCAGGCGCGAAAACUUUACAAUGCUGGCAACAGCGAUAAGGGAACCUCGAGUGCCAGGUUACAAAUCUGGCUGUCGAGAUGCCUAAAAAGCAUUUCAUAGCAAGGGCCGGGCAAGACCGGUGCCAGCCGCCGCGGUAACACCGGCGGCUCGAGUGGUAACCGUUAUUAUUGGGUCUAAAGGGUCUGUAGCCGGCCGGAUAAGUCUCUUGAGAAAUCUGGCAGCUUAACUGUCAGGCUUUCAGGAGAUACUGUCUGGCUCGAGGCCGGGAGAGGUGAGAGGUACUUCAGGGGUAGGGGUGAAAUCUUGUAAUCCUUGAAGGACCACCAGUGGCGAAGGCGUCUCACCAGAACGGACCUGACGGCAAGGGACGAAAGCUAGGGGCACGAACCGGAUUAGAUACCCGGGUAGUCCUAGCCGUAAACGAUACUCGCUAGGUGUCGGCCACGGUGCGACCGUUGUCGGUGCCGUAGGGAAGCCGUGAAGCGAGCCACCUGGGAAGUACGGCCGCAAGGCUGAAACUUAAAGGAAUUGGCGGGGGAGCACCACAACGGGUGGAGCUUGCGGUUUAAUUGGAUUCAACGCCGGAAAUCUUACCGGGACCGACAGCAAUAUGAUGGCCAGGCUGAGACUAUGCCGGAUUAGCUGAGAGGUGGAUGCAU